rnacentral:misc_RNA from 1 species
GAUGAAGAACGCAGUGAAAUGCGAUAAGUAAUGUGAAUUGCAGAAUUCGGUGAAUCAUCGAAUCUUUGAACGCACAUUGCGCCCCCUGGUAUUCCGGGGGGCAUGCCUGUUCGAGCGUCAUUUCACCACUCAAGCCUCGCUUGGUAUUGGGCAACGCGGUCCGCCGCGUGCCUCAAAUCGACCGGCUGGGUCUUCUGUCCCCUAAGCGUUGUGGAAACUAUUCGCUAAAGGGUGCUCGGGAGGCUACGCCGUAAAACAAACCCAUUUCUAAGGUUGACCUCGGAUCAGGUAGGGAUACCCGCUGAACUUAAGCAUAUCAAUAAGCGGAGGA